rnacentral:rRNA from 1 species
UGCGAUCAUACCAGUACUAAUGCACCGGAUCCCAUCAGAACUCCGCAGUUAAGCAUGCUUGGGCAAGAGUAGUACUAAGAUGGGUGACCCCCUGGGAAGUCCUCGUGUCGCA